GAUUACAUGACAAAAUUUUCAACCCAGGGCUGAGUUCAACCCCGGGGUUGAACUCAGCCCUGGGUUGAAAAUUUUGUCAUGUAAU